GCAUUGGUGGUUCAGUGGUACAAUUGUUGCCUUCCAUGCGGGAGACCUGGGUUCAAUUCCCCGUCAGUGUA
rnacentral:tRNA from 1 species